UGUGGUGUGGCUCAGUGGUAGAACACUUACCUACUAUGCAUGAAGCCCUGAGUUCAAUCCCCAGCACUGCAA
rnacentral:tRNA from 1 species